GACGAAAGCUGGCGGCGUGCUUAACAAAUGCAAGUAGAACGAAGUGGCGAACGGGUUAGUAAUACGUGAGUAACCUGCCCACCUUUUUGGGAUACGCCUUGGAAACGGGGCAUAAUACCGGAUAAAGGGGAAUGGGCUAGCGGCAUAUCAGCUUGUUGGUGGGGUGAUGGCCUACCAAGGCGGUGACGGGUCGCCGGCCUGAGAGUGUGACCGGCAACAUUGGGCCUGGGAUACGGCCAAGACUCCGAAGGUAGGAGGAAGUGUUGGAUAUUGCAUAAUGGGCGAUAGCCGGAUGCAGCGACGUCGUGUGGGGGUUGAAGGCGUGUGGGUUGUUAACCUCUGUCGCUAUCGAACGGGUAGGGGGAGAAGAAGCGCCGGCUAACUACGUGCCAGCAGCCGCGGUAAUAC
rnacentral:rRNA from 1 species